rnacentral:rRNA from 1 species
AGAGUUUGAUCAUGGCUCAGAACGAACGCUGGCGGCAGGCCUAAUACAUGCAAGUCGAGCGCAUCCUUCGGGAUGAGCGGCGGACGGGUGAGUAACGCGUGGGAAUAUGCCCUUCUCUAAGGAAUAGCCUCGGGAAACUGAGAGUAAUACCUUAUACGCCCUUCGGGGGAAAGAUUUAUCGGAGAAGGAUUAGCCCGCGUUAGAUUAGGUAGUUGGUGGGGUAAUGGCCUACCAAGCCUACGAUCUAUAGCUGGUUUGAGAGGAUGAUCAGCCACACUGGGACUGAGACACGGCCCAGACUCCUACGGGAGGCAGCAGUAGGGAAUCUUAGACAAUGGGGGAAACCCUGAUCUAGCCAUGCCGCGUGUGUGAUGAAGGCCUUAGGGUCGUAAAGCACUUUCGCCAGAGAUGAUAAUGACAGUAUCUGGUAAAGAAACCCCGGCUAACUCCGUGCCAGCAGCCGCGGUAAUACGGAGGGGGUUAGCGUUGUUCGGAAUUACUGGACGUAAAGCGCACGUAGGCGGAUUAGUAAGUUAAGGGUGAAAUCCCAGGGCUCAACCCUGGAACUGCCUUUAAUACUGCUAGUCUUGAGUUCGAGAGAGGUAAGUGGAAUUCCAAGUGUAGAGGUGAAAUUCGUAGAUAUUUGGAGG